rnacentral:rRNA from 1 species
GAUGAACGCUGGCGGCGUGCCUAAUACAUGCAAGUCGAGCGAACAGAUGAGGAGCUUGCUCCUCUGACGUUAGCGGCGGACGGGUGAGUAACACGUGGAUAACCUACCUAUAAGACUGGAUAACUUCGGGAAACCGGAGCUAAUACCGGAUAAUAUAUUGAACCGCAUGGUUCAAUAGUGAAAGACGGUUUUGCUGUCACUUAUAGAUGGAUCCGCGCCGCAUUAGCUAGUUGGUAAGGUAACGGCUUACCAAGGCAACGAUGCGUAGCCGACCUGAGAGGGUGAUCGGCCACACUGGAACUGAGACACGGUCCAGACUCCUACGGGAGGCAGCAGUAGGGAAUCUUCCGCAAAGGGCGAAAGCCUGACGGAGCAACGCCGCGUGAGUGAUGAAGGUCUUCGGAUCGUAAAACUCUGUUAUUAGGGAAGAACAAAUGUGUAAGUAACUAUGCACGUCUUGACGGUACCUAAUCAGAAAGCCACGGCUAACUACGUG